CCUACGGGUGGCAGCAGUGGGGAAUAUUGGACAAUGGGCGAAAGCCUGAUCCAGCCAUGCCGCGUGUGUGAAGAAGGCCUUCGGGUUGUAAAGCACUUUCAGUGGGGAAGAAAGCCUUGGGGCUAAUACCCUCGAGGAAGGACAUCACCCACAGAAGAAGCACCGGCUAACUCCGUGCCAGCAGCCGCGGUAAUACGGAGGGUGCGAGCGUUAAUCGGAAUUACUGGGCGUAAAGCGCGCGUAGGCGGUCUGAUAAGCCGGUUGUGAAAGCCCCGGGCUCAACCUGGGAACGGCAUCCGGAACUGUCAGGCUAGAGUGCAGGAGAGGAAGGUAGAAUUCCCGGUGUAGCGGUGAAAUGCAUAGAGAUCGGGAGGAAUACCAGUGGCGAAGGCGGCCUUCUGGACUGACACUGACGCUGAGGUGCGAAAGCGUGGGUAGCAAACAGGAUUAGAUACCCUAGUAGUC
rnacentral:rRNA from 1 species